ACAUCAGCUUGGAGAAAUGUAUGUGCGGUUGGGAAGGGAGAAUUACAGAGCCGUGUGACUCGGGAAGAGGAGCGGACGGGGGAAAAGGCGUUUCCAUUCUCAGACCGGCGAGUCUGCACGUACAAACACGCGAAUCGGGCCGACUGCCCGGCGCAUAGAAUCCACCGUAUAUCCAGUUUACUGUCACUGAUACGCGUUUCAGAUAAUUCAGAACGAACUGUUAAUUAUUUAGUAGCUUAAGCAACAUUUUUGUAUCACUCAGGAGAAAAAAGAAGGGACUUUACAAAAGGAUCAUUUUCAAAUCCGAAAGAAGGUGAGAAGCAGACUGCAUACACCGGGAUAAGGAAACGCAUUUUCUUUUGUUAUUUAAGAGCAUCACUGUGCGGCUGAUUGAUUCAGACCCUUCAACCCGGAGACAUGUCGGAGUACAGUGCUCUGCUUAGUGACCUGUCUGAGAACAUCACCAAUGAAGACCUGGACCAGCUCAAGUCUGCUUGUAAGGAGGACAUUCCAGAGGAGCAAAGCAAUGCUAUCACCUCCUCCAAGGAGUGGUUCCACUACCUGGAAAAGAAUGACAAGCUUUCCCAAGAUAACCUGUGUUACAUCGAGCACAUCUUCGAGAUCUCGCGACGCCCUGACCUGCUGACACGCGUCAUCGAGUACCGUACCACAGUGCUCAAGAUUUCCGAAGAUGACGAGAUCGACACCAAGCUGACGCGCAUCCCCUCUGCCAAGAAGUAUAAAGAUAUCAUUCGCCAGCCAUCAGAAGAUGAGAUCAUCAAGUUAGCUCCACCCCCCAAGAAAGCAUGAGGUCACCGCCCCUGACCUAUCAAACGUGAUGCAGUCGUCAGUGCUCCCCGUAUAGCUCAGCAACCCGGUCGCACCAGUCUACCCUCCUACCCAAUGAAAUACAAUGUGGACUCUCCCAACAACCAAUCACAGAGCAGGCAGGCCUCUGUUUUCCACGUCUGUGAGAACAGAGAGGAUUCCAGAUGCAUGAGGAACGGGAAGAAACACGGUGACCGAUGAUGCGUCAGAGCUUGUGUCAUCUUUCAGAUGUUUGAAAAUAGUAUUUUAACUCCCAAAUCUACCUUCUGGUAGCAAAAGUUUGCCAAACUAUACAUUCGUUUGACAUCUGUGAUGCUUUCGUUUAGGUCAGAUUUUCCGUCUGUUCCAUUUGAAAUAUGAGGGUUUGUUUAGGACAGUAUUAAUAACUUUGGAAAAAGUUAAAGCUCAAUAUAUGAUAGUAUUAAAUAGAGAUUUAGGUGAAAAUAUAUCAAAAUAUUGAUAUCCCUUUAAAAAUAUUUUUGAAUUGUAUAUCAAAGAUCUAUAUUGUUUUUACACAUUUAUUUCUUUUUGUCUUCACAAUGAAAGCUGGAAGAUUGACUGAUGCUUCUGUGUUUAGUAGUUUAAAUAUUUCCCUUAUAUAUGCCCUCUUUGCCAAGUCUUGGUAGUCUGUUGCAGUGCUAUACAAAAUAAAAUAGUGGUUUUCAUAGAAAUAGUAAGAUGGUAGAAUGUACUGGUCAGAAUUUGUACCAAAAACAAAAGGAAACAUGUUUUCUGUCAGACAGGACUAUAUUUUUUCCAGGGAGAAAUGGUCCUGAAUGUUUAACUGGGUUACAAUACAAGCUGUUGUCCAUUUCCUUAGACACAUUUACACCUGAUUAAUUUUAAACUGUAUGAAAAUAUAAUACAUGUAUUUUUAAUAUAGUUUGGCUAAAUUAGUUGCAGUGCCUCGGCUGAUCGAUAUAACAUUUAAGUUGUAAAAUCUGUGCAAGAAUAUUGCCUCACUCUGAAGCAUGAAGCAGUAAAAUGCUUUACUUAUAACACGUUGUGGAAAUCUCCGGAGAGGUUGUGUGCUUUUUUUCUUGAUUGCUCUGGCAUAAUGAAAGGAAAUGGCGCCCUCUGGUGGAUUUUUCAGGCUUAUUUUCACUGUGUUGACGUAGAACUGUUUGUAUCGUGCAUCCCCUACCUGUUUUAACCAGGAUCUGCAACUCAAGGCAAUAGCCUUGAUAUUCUUUGCUUAUAGGACCAAGCCCGUGAUAUUCUUUGCUUAUAAGACCAAGAUCUUUUUUCAUGUUAAUUCAAAUGUAUGCUUAGGUAUUUAUUUUGUAUUCUGUGUAAUUUUGGAAUAAUUUUUGUUUCUAGCAAGCAUAAUGUGAAACAAUAUUUGCUUGAAGAUAGUGGUAGACUGAGAUAUUCUAUGCAAAUGCCUUAGAGAAACUGAACUGAUGGACUUCAUGGAUUCAAAUGGAAAAUCUAGUUUCUAAUCUGUUUCAUUACCAGCGCAUUUAAUUGAGCCUUUGCUUGUUAUUCUGGUGUCGCUGCUGUUGGCCGGGUCAUAGCCAGCCCAUCUAAUGAAACACUACACUUGAGUUACAGCUCUGGCUUUUUGCCCUGGCCCUUUCAUUACAUUUCUGCUCUCCCAUCUAUCAACGGGCUGUUUUGUGCAGGAAUAUACUGUCUGUCACUGCCCGCUACAGUCACUAGUGAGGGCGGGAACAAGGAGCGUUGAUGAUUUCUGUGGAGGAAGGAAGGCUACAUGUCUGGAGGGUGUCUAUGAAUGUAGGGUACGGCUGCUGGUGUUUGUGAGGGAUGGAGACUGGAUGGAUUCUUUUGGAUACGUUUGGAGUAGAUUAUUGUGAUGCUUAUUUCGUUUUUGCAGGUUUCUGAGUUUUAACAAAAUCAGUGACCAUCCACAUGACAUGUGAAUCCCUUUAAUAUUUAAUCAGUAAUUGAAAUACAAAUAUCUCUGAGCAGAGGCUGAACUUGCUACACGUUGACACCACCCAGUUGGCUCGUCUCAGUAAAUAUCUCUGAAAAACAAUAGUAAUACUUUAAGAAAAGGUGUGUGAUUUUGGAAAAAUCUAUAUGUCUACACAAUCGAGAGAAUUGGAUGGUGCAGUGAUGUUGGGUUGUGUUGGGAGGUGGUGUGUGAGGAAGGCAUGGAUUGGACUGGAAACGGCAAUAUUGAGGGAGUAGUACGAUAUUCCUGGGGCAGGCAAAGCAGCGUGUGAGUGGACACUAAGAGUUGCUGGCAUGGAAAACUUCAUUUUUAAAUUUGAUUAGACUCUUUAAAAGCUGAUAGAUGUAGUGUUAUGGGGUUCUAAGCCAGUAUCACAGCAUGGCGUACUCAGAUCUUUGAGAAGCAGUGGCAGAAUACCUAAAUGAUUGUGUCUGUGGUGAGCAGGGGCCAAAUCUGCCUGCGGUCUGAAGUGUUAGUGCUGCUGUUAGAUGUGAUUCUUGGGAAUGUUAUUUCUGGCCGAAAAUCCUGACUGUGACAGUGUUUCUUAGUGUUGUGCAACUGCCUGAAGGAAGAGCUGGUGCACGCAGGUAUUAUCGCAGUAAGUGUGCAGUACAACUCCAUGCAUAUUUUAGAACUGUACUCAUUUAGUUUAACUUGUAACCUAAAUCAAACUGUAUAGUACUGGAUUAUUUGAAAUUAAAAUUCUGUUUACAGGACAGUGUGGUAUGAAGCAGACCCAUAAUUACCAGUUGCUCUUUAAAGUUAAUGAAUGAGGCAUGGGAAUCAUGUGGCAGACCACAGUGUUUAAACCACAGCAUUAGUUUGUUACUAACAAUUUUUGAAAGAAAUCUGGAGUGUGCCACUGACAAUACAUUAUAUGAUUGGGGAGAGAUGCUUUGUUUAAACAACAGUUAAAACCAUUACAAAAAUUGUAGUGUGAUGUCACACAAUGUCUGUGAUGUUAAAUGAAAGGACAUUCUGUUAUAAACUGUUAUUACAAAUGCUAAAGAAAUUAAUUCAAAAGUUUCUUAGAUUUUGCCCCAUGUCAAAAUUUUACAGUUCAUGUGAAUUGUAUUUUCUGUCCUUAAGUUAUAUGGUGUACAUAUUGUGAUUUUAUUUUAAUAUUUGACUAUUAUUUAUUAAAUUUAAAUAUUUAAUCUCAUAAUUUCAAACAUGGUGGAAACAAUUGAUUGGGAUGAACUUGCUUGUUAGGAAACAUUCCUUUUCAAGAAAUGAUUUCAUGGAGAACCAAGUCUUUUUGUUGCUCUUGUUGUUGUUAUUGUUGCAAAUAACUACUGAAGUCAAAUGAUUUAAUAUGUUCUGUUGUGGAAAUGAAAUAUUUUUUUUUGCUGUAUGUAUUUCAGUUGUGGGUUUAAAGAUGUUUACAUUGAAAUGGUAAGCAAUGAGACCAUUAGUGACUCAAUAAGUUUAUUCACACUGCUGUGCUGUAUUUCCUGUGCAUUCGUCUGUGUAUGAUUUCCAGAAUACUCCGAUUUGCCUGGGGAAUUCGCCCAGAUCUCCUUGUGAGUUUCGAAGUUCACCUGGGGUAUUAGAAAUUACAUUGAGCACUGAAAUCAUUCACAAUCCAACUGGAAAAUGAGCAGACAACAUAGCACAUACAUAUAUAGAUAUAUUUAUAUAUAUAUAUAUACAUAUAUUUAUUUUUUCUGGGAAAGCUAUAUACAACAUGGAUUGUUAUUGCUUUAAUACAUACUAAUGUUUCUCUAUGAAAUUAUGAUUCUGCAGUGACCAGCCUGUGUACCACUGCAUAGCUGUGCAACGGCAUGAACUUAUCGAUCAAAGAAACGAAUUAAAUACUGGAAUCUUGGUGCCAUAGGAUGAUAUCUGAUGUCAAAUCUGCAAGGUGGCAAAUGCUCACAUUUGGAAAUCACACCGACAUUAUUACUGUAGUGCAUUACUGUUUUCAGUUAUGUAAUUGAAGUGCAGGUUGAACUGAGAGCACAUGUUACGAAGAAUUUAUCUUGAUCAAGGAACAGUAUAUAAGACCUUGUCUAAUCUAAUCUUUGCUAACACAUCUCUCGUAACUUCGGCCUUUAUCUGCUUGGGAUUUAAAGGCUGAAUAAAGAGCUGAUGUUUAUAUGAAACAUUUUGCCAUGUGCUAUAACAAGCUUUGCCACUUUGAAGAAGAAAUUUGAAAAAAAUGAAACUAAUCCACACUGUAAUGAAAAUAACAGUAUGAGUUUAAUUGUGGAAUUGAUAUUCCCUUGACAGCACGGUGUGAGAUGCUGACUUUAAACUUGGGUUUUAUCUGUUCGAUAUCAAACAUAGAGCAAUUUGCUGUGGUUCCUGAACUCUGAACUGGAAAAGUGCAACAUUAGAUUCCUGUUGUGUUUUUGCAGUGGCACCUGUUCUCAGCAACAUCACAGCAUCGCGAAACAGAAUCGAGUCUAGCUGAGACGCAGGCUUGAGUUUGGGGCCCAGUUCUCAUCCCCACUAUUGUGUAUUGCAAUAUACGGGAGACAUUCGAUCGGCAGACCUGUCAGUGCUCAGGUGUGGACAGCAGGGAUUUCUCUUAUCUAUAUUUUUCUAGAUUACAUGCAGGUGAAAAGAAAUGCACUUUUUCUUGGGGGGAUUUCUGUGGUUGGAAGCAUGGCCUGUAAACUUCAGAAAGCUGAAAUACACAAAUGGCAGGAAAAUGUGUGAAACCCCUUAAAAAGUAUCAGACUGAAUCUAACGGCUAAACCUCAGAUCUCGUUAAUGGACAAACAAUUCCUAGGUCAUUGCUGUCGUUUUUCAAGACUAAUAUCGGAUCAGUCUGGUUUUCUAUUUGAGGUUAAGAAACUAGUCAGUCCCAUCGUCACGGGUUUGUCACUGGGCUGCAGUGGAGUAACAUUUUAAGUCUGUGAUGCAGUGACUGUUAAAAAUGUUUAAGAAAAAAACAUGAUUAUCCAUUUACUGAUUGCUAAUGCAGUGUAUGCUGUUUUAUUAAUAUUUUGAUGUGACACCAUUGAAGAGUAAAUGAUAUAUUGAGUGUAUUUAAGAUGUGGCUUUUAUCUAUUCAUUGGAUUAUUUUAAAAGGCCUUUUUGUCAUUGUGCUAAAAUAAAUAUUAAAAAAUAUUUGCUAA